AACUAAAUUGUAGUUUUUGGUGUUCCUUUUUAAUAAGGAACUUAAUAGGGAAUUGAGUUUAAAUCUCAAGCUGUCCCAGCAACCGUAAUAUGGACGAAAGGCAAUGACCACUGCGAAAGCGGGAAGGUGCCUAGUAGGAUGAAGUUAAGCCGGUAGACCUGCCAUUAACACAAGUUGUCA
rnacentral:ncRNA from 2 species